UGGGGAAUAUUGCACAAUGGAGGGAACUCUGAUGCAGCGACGCCGCGUGAACGAAGAAGGUUUUCGAGUCGUAAAGUUCUUUUAUAUGGGAAGAUAAUGACGGUACCAUAAGAAGAAGCCCCGGCUAACUACGUGCCAGCAGCCGCGGUAAUACGUAGGGGGCUAGCGUUGUCCGGAAUCACUGGGCGUAAAGGGUUCGCAGGCGGAAAUGCAAGUCAGGUGUAAAAGGCAGUAGCUUAACUACUGUAAGCAUUUGAAACUGCAUAUCUUGAGAAGAGUAGAGGUAAGUGGAAUUUUUAGUGUAGCGGUGAAAUGCGUAGAUAUUAAAAAGAAUACCGGUGGCGAAGGCGACUUACUGGGCUCAUUCUGACGCUGAGGAACGAAAGCGUGGGUAGCAAACAGG
rnacentral:rRNA from 1 species